rnacentral:snRNA from 2 species
GGUUGAGAGGGUGAUCUGGCUGGGACAUCUGUCACCCCACUCAUGCCAGGAUUGAUUUGGCUGCUCUGGUUGGCCAGGCAGGUGUCCCCUUCCUUCCUUACUGCUGCAUGCACAUACAUCCCAAAGCUGUGUGCUUGAUUGAAGAAAACAACAGCACUCAUACAGGAAAACUGUUACUCAGUCAAGACAAUGUGAGUAGCUCUGCUCUCCUGUUAGAACCUCUAACCAAGCUCUCAAAGCCCAUUUAUGGAAGAACAUAGCAUAGGCAAGCUUCUAAAACUCCAGACAUAUCCACAGGAGGCACUGAAUGUGGCAGUCUACCUUUCUAA